CUGGCACACCAAGCCUAACUGCACCUUAACUUUCUCCCCCAGGUCACCAUCCAAACCCUCUACAUCCCCUGUCCCAAGUCACAACUCCCUCCCACAUCCUGUACCCCACCUAUACCCUUCCUCAUCACCCCAAUCCUCUCCUGCACCCAUACCUCCUCCCUGACCCUGAAACUCUGUCCCCUGACCGUAUGUCUCAUAGACUUUAAGGUCAGAAGGGACCAUUAUGAUCAUCUAUCCUCUGCCCCUGGUCACAGCACCCUCCUUGAGCCAAACUCCCUCUCAGAUCCCAUACUGUCUCCUGCACUCCUGUGCCUUACCCUGUGCGCCCUUCUGCACCCAAUCUCCAUCCUAGACCUCAUACCCCCUCCACAGAAAAGUCUGGCCCUUGACCACUUUGAAAAAUCUUGGAGUGGCCUCUCCCCCACCAAAAAUCAUUGCCUGCCCCGUAUGUAAUAUCUGGACUCAAGCAUUUGCCCAAAAUGGCAGAGUUUAGCAGGUGUGUCACCAGGGACAGUCUGGGGAAAAUGGGGGUGUGGAAAGAAUUAAAGCUCCUUCUGAAAGGUCUCCAAUUGCUCUUCUCCCCACAACAGGCUGCAGAACACCCAUGUCUUGCUCCAGCUCAGUCCACAGCCAGCAGAGCCAGGGAAUGGAAAUGGCUGUAGCGGAGUCGGUGACCUUCGAGGAGGUGGCUGUCCAUUUCACUGACGAGGAAUGGGCUCUGCUGGACCUGGGUCAGAGAACCCUCUACUGGGAUGUGAUGCAGGAGAAUUAUGAGGCUGUGAGCUGGCUGGUGAUAUGUGGCCACCGUUGCCAGAGUAAAGCCAACAUUUUGGGCACGCUGCUGGCAUCCUGGGCAAGUGGAGAGGAGAUGUGGCUACGUGGCUCCACUGUCUGAUUUAAUGCAUCAGAGAGAGGUCAGUCCACACUCAUCUUCCCUUUUUUUGUUGUUGAAGCAGCUCUGAGGCUGGGGUGAGGAGCUGGUGUUACUUACCACCUGAUUGUUGGUGUUAUUCCUGGCAUAUUUCAGACUUUGUAACUGUGUGAUGUGGAAGGAGGAAUGUGGCGCCCCCACUAUUUUCCACUGUUAGAAUUAUACAGUAAACAAGAAUUCUAUGCCGUUCAAGGCCAACAGGUCUGUCACCUCCUAUCAGCAGGGACAGAGGAAGCAUUUGUGUUUGGCCAAGGUGCUUUUCAGUUGACAGCUGGUGGACGUGCCAGGAAAUGCUCAAAAGCCUGGGCUAAGAUGUAGUUUGAUUGGAGGCAGACAGAUCCAGAGCAGAGAGGUGCAGAGGGCUGAGGGAUUCUACAUUAACAGAACUUAAUGCAGGAUCUGACUUUUUUUUUAAUAUUAGUGUUAAUAAUCUGUGCGCUUCCUCGUGUUCUGAGAAGGUUAUUGAGUUCUUUUAGAGGAUGCAGAUGAGGCUGCAGUGAGGCCUUAACAAAUGCAGGAUCAGGCUCUAAAUGACCAUCAAGUCAACACACUGAACAAACACUUGGAUCUUUCUGUUGCAGUUACCUUCUGGGUGACACAGAGCAAUGCCAGUUGAAAAGGAAUAGCUCUGUGGUGGUGUUGUGGCUGCUGUUGCUUUCAGAGGUUGCUUUCAUGCUGGUUACUCUCUCUCAGGUUUUGUCUACAUGUACAAGCUUAGAUCGGUGCUAUGGCAGCACUUAAACGUGGCAGUGUGGGCAUGACCAGAGCGCUGGGAAAGAGCUCUCGCUGGGCUGUAGCCAAACCACCUUCAGCAAGGCAGUAGCUCACAGGCCUGGGAGAACAUUUACACUGAUGCUUCACAGCGCUGUUACUUGCUGUGCCCAUAUAUUCCAUGCUGAGUAGUGACGCUGAGCACCAGAUCCAAAGGGCCUGGAGGUCCCAUUUCUCCAGCAGCAGAGUGCGCAUAGCUGCCUCUGUGACAGGAAGAGCUGUAUAAUCUCUGCCAAGAUCAUAGCAAAGCCUGGGUCAAGGAAAUCCCCGUGACUGCAGAUUGGUUAGUGGGCAUCACACAGAGCCCUUCUGAGAGCUUGGCCAGAGUGAGAGGAAGCUCUCGAUGGUCUCAGACACCCAUGCUGACAACCAGGCCAGCACCCCGUCAGGCCGCUCAGAGAUU